rnacentral:ncRNA from 2 species
CAUUUCUUCAACCGGUAAGGUGCCCCCUAAAAAGGGAUAAUAGGGAACCACGUGAAAAUCGUGGACUGUCGCGCAACUGUAAGCACGGCCAAAGUUUCCGCCCAUAACAAUCCACUGUCCCGAUCAAUCGGGGUGGGAAGGAUGGCGGAAAUCGUGCAAGUCAGGAGACCUGCCUUAAUGUGGAUUGACAA